ACAGCUCAGUGUCUCGGGCUGGCCUGUCGUCAUGGUAAUGGAGUCCACAGAGAGACAGAUUCAGGGACGGCGCAUCAUCGUUUCCGCUGGCAACCAUGGAGGCCAUCAUCCUGACUGCUGGUUGGCUAGACCAUGGUGGGAGGGGACAAUCCUCUCUGGGUUGCUAUUGGUCACAGUUCACACAGGGGCAUGUCUGAAUGUCGGCGACCUGUGGGCACACAAGAAGAGACAUCUGGCUGAGAUGCCAGUUCUUUGAUGAACCAGCGGGCAUGGCAACACAGGGGGAAGGCCUUCUAUGUGAGUUUGGCCAUGAGAGGGCACACGUCUCAAACAAAUGGCUCUGCCCAAUGUGGAGAGUUAACAGGAAGAAAUCCCCACUCCCUCACUGACACCAUCACAACAGCAUUACAUCAUGGAGAGAGGGGGCCUGGCUCAUCUUGCAGUACCUUUAUCAAAGAGCAGAACAGUGGUGGGUGGGGAGCAAACCCCCAGGGGAAAUACAGAGAAAAGGAUCCCUUUAGAAGAUGAAAGGGUGAAAAGAUACAGGCCUGAAGGAUGUGUUUGUCAGAAGAGAUACAAAAAACUGCUUUGAGAGAAGAGCAAACACAGUAUUAGCUUUUUUAUUAGGCUGGUACCUCCCCAGGAAUGUCACACCCUUGGGCGAGGCCAACAUAA